rnacentral:rRNA from 1 species
UACGGGGGGGGCAAGCGUUGUUCAGAAUUACUGGGCGUAAAGGGCUCGUAGGCGGCCAACUAAGUCAGUUGUGAAAUCCCCAGGCUCAACCUGGGAACUGCGUCUGAUACUGGUUGGCUUGAAUCCGGGAGAGGGAUGCAGAAUUCCAGGUGUAGCGGUGAAAUGCGUAGAUAUCUGGAGGAACACCGGUGGCGAAGGCGGGCCUCUGGGCAACAACUGACGCUGAGGAGCGAAAGCGUGGGGAGCGAACAGG